rnacentral:rRNA from 1 species
CUCCAAGGCUAAAUACUCCUGACUGACCGAUAGUGAACCAGUACCGUGAGGGAAAGGCGAAAAGAACCCCGGCGAGGGGAGUGAAAAAGAACCUGAAACCGUGUACGUACAAGCAGUGGGAGCACAGGUUUACCUGUGUGACUGCGUACCUUUUGUAUAAUGGGUCAGCGACUUAUAUUCUGUAGCAAGGUUAACCGUAUAGGGGAGCCGGAGGGAAACCGAGUCUUAAUUGGGCGUUAAGUUGCAGGGUAUAGACCCGAAACCCGGUGAUCUAGCCAUGGGCAGGUUGAAGGUUGGGUAACACUAACUGGAGGACCGAACCGACUAAUGUUGAAAAAUUAGCGGAUGACCUGUGGCUGGGGGUGAAAGGCCAAUCAAACCGGGAGAUAGCUGGUUCUCCCCGAAAGCUAUUUAGGUAGCGCCUCGUGAAUUCAUCUCCGGGGGUAGAGCACUGUUUCGGCUAGGGGGCCAUCCCGGCUUACCAACCCGAUGCAAACUGCGAAUACCGGAGAAUGUUAUCACGGGAGACACACGGCGGGUGCUAACGUCCGUCGUGAAGAGGGAAACAACCCAGACCGCCAGCUAAGGUCCCAAAGUCAUGGUUAAGUGGGAAACGAUGUGGGAAGGCCCAGACAGCCAGGAUGUUGGCUUAGAAGCAGCCAUCAUUUAAAGAAAGCGUAAUAGCUCACUGGUCGAGUCGGCCUGCGCGGAAGAUGUAACGGGGCUAAACCAUGCACCGAAGCUGCGGCAGCGAACGUAUCACUUAAAGCGAUUCAGCGGGUUACGAUUGACGGAGCGAAGCGACGUCAAAGCGUAUACAAAGUCGAGUCGGUUUAAGGAUACGUUCGUUGGGUAGGGGAGCGUUC